rnacentral:rRNA from 1 species
UCGAGAAUCUUCGGCAAUGGGCGCAAGCCUGACCGAGCGACGCCGCGUGGGGGACGAAGGCCUUCGGGUUGUAAACCCCUGUCGAGAGGGAGGAAGGGGCGGUGCAGAGCCGCCCUUGACCGAUCUCUGGAGGAAGCACGGGCUAAGUUCGUGCCAGCAGCCGCGGUAAGACGAACCGUGCGAACGUUAUUCGGAAUCACUGGGCUUAAAGCGCGUGUAGGCGGCCCGGCACGUCCGUCGCUGAAAUCCCCCGGCUCAACCGGGGAAGGGGCGUGGAUACGACCGGGCUGGAGGGGGGUAGGGGGGACGGGAACUCACGGUGGAGCGGUGAAAUGCGUUGAGAUCGUGAGGAACGCCCGCGGCGAAAGCGCGUCCCUGGACCCCACCUGACGCUGAGACGCGAAAGCCAGGGGAGCGAACGG